rnacentral:rRNA from 1 species
GUGUCAGCAGCCGCGGUAAUACGAAGGGGGCUAGCGUUGCUCGGAAUUACUGGGCGUAAAGCGCACGUAGGCGGGCUAUUAAGUCGGGGGUGAAAUCCUGGAGCUCAACUCCAGAACUGCCUUCGAAACUGAUAGUCUUGAGUUCGGGAGAGGUGAGUGGAACUGCGAGUGUAGAGGUGAAAUUCGUAGAUAUUCGCAAGAACACCAGUGGCGAAGGCGGCUCACUGGCCCGAUACUGACGCUGAGGUGCGAAAGCGUGGGGAGCAAACAGGAUUAGAUACCCGCGUAGUCC